rnacentral:rRNA from 1 species
UACGUAGGGUGCGAGCGUUGUCCGGAAUUAUUGGGCGUAAAGGGCUCGUAGGCGGUUUGUCGCGUCGGGAGUGAAAACUCAGGGCUUAACCCUGAGCCUGCUUCCGAUACGGGCAGACUAGAGGUAUGCAGGGGAGAACGGAAUUCCGUGGUGUAGCGGUGAAUGCGCAGAUAUCAGGAGGAACACCGGUGGCGAAGGCGGUUCUCUGGGCAUUACCUGACGCUGAGGAGCGAAAGUGUGGGGAGCGAACAGG